GGGCCGUUAGCUCAACUGGCAGAGCACCUGACUCUUAAUCAGGGGGUUGCAGGUUCGACUCCUGCACGGCUCACCA
rnacentral:tRNA from 5 species